rnacentral:rRNA from 1 species
CGGACGGGUGAGUAAUGUAUAGUUAAUCUGCCCUUUAGAGGGGGAUAACAGUUGGAAACGACUGCUAAUACCCCCAUACUCCUUCUAUGUUAAUCAUAGUUGGGAAAUGUUUUUUCGCUAAAGGAUGAGACUAUAUGGUAUCAGGUAGUUGGUGGGGUAAGAGCCUACCAAGCCAAUGACGCCUAGCUGGUCUGAGAGGAUGAUCAGCCACACUGGAACUGAGACACGGUCCAG